CCCUUAGAUGUUCUGGGCCGCACGCGCGCUACACUGAUGCAUUCAACGAGUCUACAACCUGGUCUGAUAGGGCUGGGUAAUCUUUUGAAUGUGCAUCGUGAUUGGGAUAGAUGAUUGCAAUUCUUCAUCUUCAACGAGGAAUGCCUAGUAAACGCAAGUCAUCAGCUUGCGUUGAUUACGUCCCUGCCCUUUGUACACACCGCCCGUCGCUCCUACCGAUUGAAUGGUCCGGUGAAGCGUUCGGACCGUGGCCUUUGGACGGUUCGCCGUCUGUUGGCUGCGGGAAGUUCGUUAAACCUUAUCAUUUAGAGGAAGGAGAAGUCGUAACA
rnacentral:rRNA from 1 species